CCUACGGGGGGCAGCAGUGGGGAAUCUUCCGCAAUGGGCGAAAGCCUGACGGAGCAACGCCGCGUGAUCGAAUGAAGGCCUUCGGGUUGUAAAGAUCUGUUGACAGGGACGAAUAAGCAAUGCGAAUAGUUUUGUGUAUGACGGUACCUGUUUAGAAAGCUCCGGCUAACUACGUGCCAGCAGCCGCGGUAAUACGUAGGGAGCAAGCGUUGUCCGGAAUUACUGGGCGUAAAGGGCGCGUAGGUGGGCGCUUAAGUCAGGUGUGAAAACUCCGGGCUCAACCUGGAGACUGCACUUGAAACUGG
rnacentral:rRNA from 1 species